rnacentral:rRNA from 1 species
AUUGAACGCUGGCGGCAGGCCUAACACAUGCAAGUCGAACGAGUGGCGGACGGGUGAGUAAUGUCCGGGAAACUGCCUGAUGGAGGGGGAUAACUACUGGAAACGGUAGCUAAUACCGCAUACCAUCAGAUGUGCUCAGAGGGGAUUAGCUGGUUGGUGGGGUAACGGCUCACCAAAGAGACGAUCCCUAGCUGGUCUGAGAGGAUGACCGGCCACACUAGAACUGAAACGCGGUACAGACUCCUACGGUAGGCGGCAGUGGGGGAUAUUGCACAAUGGGCGCAGGCCUGAUGCAGCCAUGCCACGUGUAUGAAGGAGGCCUUCGGGUUGUAAAGUACUUUCAGCGGGGAGGCGUUACCCGCAGAAGAAGCACCGGCUAACUCCGUGCCAGCAGCCGCGGUAAUAC